CCUACGGGGUGCAGCAGUGAGGAAUAUUGGUCAAUGGCCGCAGGACUGAACCAGCCAAGUCGCGUGCGGGAUGACGGUCCUAUGGAUUGUAAACCUCUUUUAUCAGGGAGCAAAAGGCGCCACGUGUGGCGCUUUGCGGGUACCUGAAGAAAAAGCAUCGGCUAACUCCGUGCCAGCAGCCGCGGUAAUACGGAGGAUGCGGGCGUUAUCCGGAUUUAUUGGGUUUAAAGGGUGCGCAGGCGGAAUGUCAAGUCAGCGGUAAAAUUUCGGGGCUCAACCCCGUCGUGCCGUUGAAACUGGCGUUCUUGAGUGAGCGAGAAGUAUGCGGAAUGCGUGGUGUAGCGGUGAAAUGCAUAGAUAUCACGAAGAACUCCGAUUGCGAAGGCAGCAUACGGGCGCUCAACUGACGCUGAUGCACGAAGGCGUGGGUAUCGAACAGGAUUAGAUACCCGUGUAGUC
rnacentral:rRNA from 1 species